rnacentral:lncRNA from 1 species
UACUCCAAAUACUCUAGAUCAAGUUUAACGGAGCCGAUCGACGAUUCGAAAGUCGCAACAUCGCAAACGAGCUGGAAGCACGGAAGGCUCCGUGCUUCCGAUAGCAUAGUAGCCUCACUAUAUAUAUAUAUAUAUAUAUCCGGCUACUAUACUCUUAUGAGUACGAUCACAUUCAUACUCAUAAGUCGUUUUCGAUGAUAGAGCUUCCGAAUCGACGAUCCAUACCGUUAAACAUUUUUUAGAGCAUUUAAAACUUCUGGAAAUUAAAUUUUAUAAUAUUUCGAUAUCAUUUACCUUACGAUCAAUAGCUCACAAAAUUGAUAAUUUUUAACAGCCGGUAUGUGAUACUUGCUAGUUUAACGGUGUAAACGAAUCGGAAUAGCUUAAAUUUUUGAUAGAAAAGUCUAUUCAUUACCUAGAUAAAGAUCAAUAACCCCGAUCUUAAAUUGAAGGAUCCGAUCAUCCAUUUUUAGGACGUCGUUCAAUUUUGACUGUUCAUUUUAUAUAUGUUUGAUGGAUUUUAUAAUGAUUUCGAAAAGUUAUGAAAUUUAUUUUCUAGUAGAAGUUUCAAAUAAUCUAGAUCAUGUUUAAUGGUGUGGAUCGUCGAUUCGGAAGCCCGAACAUCGAAAAUAACUUAUGAGUACGAAGAGCUCUAUACUCAUAAGAGUAUAG